AGAGUUUGAUCAUGGCUCAGAUUGAACGCUGGCGGCAGGCCUAACACAUGCAAGUCGAGCGGCAGCACGGGUACUUGUACCUGGUGGCGAGCGGCGGACGGGUGAGUAAUACCUAGGAAUCUGCCUGGUAGUGGGGGAUAACGUUCGGAAACGGACGCUAAUACCGCAUACGUCCUACGGGAGAAAGCAGGGGACCUUCGGGCCUUGCGCUAUCAGAUGAGCCUAGGUCGGAUUAGCUAGUUGGUGAGGUAAUGGCUCACCAAGGCUACGAUCCGUAACUGGUCUGAGAGGAUGAUCAGUCACACUGGAACUGAGACACGGUCCAGACUCCUACGGGAGGCAGCAGUGGGGAAUAUUGGACAAUGGGCGAAAGCCUGAUCCAGCCAUGCCGCGUGUGUGAAGAAGGUCUUCGGAUUGUAAAGCACUUUAAGUUGGGAGGAAGGGCCGUUACCUAAUACGUGAUGGUUUUGACGUUACCGACAGAAUAAGCACCGGCUAACUCUGUGCCAGCAGCCGCGGUAAUACAGAGGGUGCAAGCGUUAAUCGGAAUUACUGGGCGUAAAGCGCGCGUAGGUGGUUCGUUAAGUUGGAUGUGAAAUCCCCGGGCUCAACCUGGGAACUGCAUUCAAAACUGUCGAGCUAGAGUAUGGUAGAGGGUGGUGGAAUUUCCUGUGUAGCGGUGAAAUGCGUAGAUAUAGGAAGGAACACCAGUGGCAAAGGCGACCACCUGGACUGAUACUGACACUGAGGUGCGAAAGCGUGGGGAGCAAACAGGAUUAGAUACCCUAGUAGUCC
rnacentral:rRNA from 1 species